rnacentral:rRNA from 1 species
UGGGGAAUUUUGGACAAUGGGCGCAAGCCUGAUCCAGCCAUGCCGCGUGCGGGAAGAAGGCCUUCGGGUUGUAAACCGCUUUUGUCAGGGAAGAAAUCUUCUGAGUUAAUACCUCGGGAGGAUGACGGUACCUGAGGAAUAAGCACCGGCUAACUACGUGCCAGCAGCCGCGGUAAUACGUAGGGUGCAAGCGUUAAUCGGAAUUACUGGGCGUAAAGCGUGCGCAGGCGGUUUUGUAAGACAGAGGUGAAAUCCCCGGGCUCAACCUGGGAACUGCCUUUGUGACUGCAAGGCUUGAGUGCGGCAGAGGGGGAUGGAAUUCCGCGUGUAGCAGUGAAAUGCGUAGAUAUGCGGAGGAACACCGAUGGCGAAGGCAAUCCCCUGGGCCUGCACUGACGCUCAUGCACGAAAGCGUGGGGAGCAAACAGGAUUAGAUAGCCCUGGUAGUCCACGCCCUAAACGAUGUCAACUGGUUGUUGGGAAGGUUCCUUCUCAGUAACGUAGCUAACGCGUGAAGUUGACCGCCUGGGGAGUACGGCCGCAAGGUUGAAACUCAAAUGAAUUGACGGGGU